CAGCAGCCGCGGUAAUGCGUAGGUCCCGAGCGUUGUCCGGAUUUAUUGGGCGUAAAGCGAGCGCAGGCGGAUAGAUAAGUCUGAAGUUAAAGGCUGUGGCUUAACCAUAGUACGCUUUGGAAACUGUUUAACUUGAGUGCAAGAGGGGAGAGUGGAAUUCCAUGUGUAGCGGUGAAAUGCGUAGAUAUAUGGAGGAACACCGGUGGCGAAAGCGGCUCUCUGGCUUGUAACUGACGCUGAGGCUCGAAAGCGUGGGGAGCAAACAGGAUUAGAUACCCCAGUAGUCCCUGUCUCUUAUACA
rnacentral:rRNA from 1 species